GCAAGUCGAACGGAAAGGCCCUUCGGGGUACUCGAGUGGCGAACGGGUGAGUAACACGUGGGUGAUCUGCCCUGCACUUUGGGAUAAGCCUGGGAAACUGGGUCUAAUACCGAAUAGGACCGCGCGCUUCAUGGUGUGUGGUGGAAAGCUUUUGCGGUGUGGGAUGGGCCCGCGGCCUAUCAGCUUGUUGGUGGGGUAAUGGCCUACCAAGGCGACGACGGGUAGCCGGCCUGAGAGGGUGACCGGCCACACUGGGACUGAGAUACGGCCCAGACUCCUACGGGAGGCAGCAGUGGGGAAUAUUGCACAAUGGGCGCAAGCCUGAUGCAGCGACGCCGCGUGAGGGAUGACGGCCUUCGGGUUGUAAACCUCUUUCACCAGGGACGAAGCGUAAGUGACGGUACCUGGAGAAGAAGCACCGGCCAACUACGUGCCAGCAGCCGCGGUAAA
rnacentral:rRNA from 1 species